UCUCUCUAUCUAAAGGUAGUCUUGAUGGAUCCUCUGAAAAUACAUCAGAAAAAUUUCUUACUAUCAAAAUACUUUUCAAUUUCAACUAUUCCUAUCGAGUAUCUAAGAUACUAGCCAAAUACCUCAUACAAUCUUUUCUCAACAUUCAACAAACUUGCAUGGGGGAUAUAACUCUAGGAACAUUUAGUCCAUUACUACUGAAGCCAA
rnacentral:lncRNA from 1 species